UACAGAGGUCUCAAGCGUUGUUCGGAUUCAUUGGGCGUAAAGGGUGCGUAGGCGGCGCGGUAAGUCGGGUGUGAAAUCUCGGAGCUUAACUCAGAACGGCCAAGUGAUACUGCAGUGCUAGAGUGCAGAAAGGGCAAUCGGAAUUCUUGGUGUAGCGGUGAAAUGCGUAGAUAUCAAGAGGAACACCUGAGGCGAAGGCGGGUUGCUAGGCUGACACUGACGCUGAGGCGCGAAAGCCAGGGGAGCAAACGGG
rnacentral:rRNA from 1 species